UUAUGCCUACGGGGCGCAGCAGUAGGGAAUCUUCCACAAUGGACGAAAGUCUGAUGGAGCAACGCCGCGUGAGUGAAGAAGGGUUUCGGCUCGUAAAGCUCUGUUGGUAGUGAAGAAAGAUAGAGGUAGUAACUGGGCUUUAUUUGACGGUAAUUACUUAGAAAGUCACGGCUUACUACGUGCCAGCAGCCGCGGUAAUACGUAGGUGGCUAGCGGUGUCCGGAUUUAUUGGGCGUAAAGCGAG
rnacentral:rRNA from 1 species